GAUGAACGCUAGCGACAGGCCUAACACAUGCAAGUCGAGGGGUAGAGGAGAGCUUGCUUUCCUUGAGACCGGCGCACGGGUGAGUAACGCGUAUGCAACCUGGCCGUAAGAGGGGGAUAGCCUCUCGAAAGAGAGAUUAACACCGCAUAAUACUGCGAUAAGGCAUCUUAAUGCAGUUAAAUAUUUAUAGCUUACGGAUGGGCAUGCGUCUGAUUAGUUUGUUGGUAGGGUAACGGCCUACCAAGACUACGAUCAGUAGGGGUUCUGAGAGGAAGGUCCCCCACACUGGUACUGAGACACGGACCAGACUCCUACGGGAGGCAGCAGUGAGGAAUAUUGGUCAAUGGGCGAGAGCCUGAACCAGCCAAGUCGCGUGAAGGAAGACUGCCCUAUGGGUUGUAAACUUCUUUUGUAAGGGAAUAAAAAACGUUACGUGUAACGUCUUGUAGGUACCUUACGAAUAAGGAUCGGCUAACUCCGUGCCAGCAGCCGCAGUAAUAC
rnacentral:rRNA from 1 species